rfam:Oryza rufipogon genomic scaffold, chr06
AAUAACCUCAGCCAUGAGUUUCCGUAUUCAAUUUUAACCAUCCGUCUUAUUUAAAACUUAUUAUUAUUAUUAUUAUUAUUAUUAUUAUUAUUAUUAUUAUUAUUAUAAAGCAUGGAUAGUACUUUAUAUGUACUAAUGUUUUUUAGAUUUUUGAAAAAUUUUUAAAUAAGACGGACGGCUAAAGUUGGAUAUGGAAGCUCAUGGCUGGACAUUUA